ACUUUCUGAAGGUCCACAUCUUUUAAGACAAAAACAUUAAGUGAAAGCAUUAUAAUUUUAGGUGAGAAAAUCUCACCAGGAUUCACAUAGAUUUUAGAGCAUUCAGACAAUUAAGUUCAAAUAAAACCAAAAUUUGCAUGCAAAGUUCUUGGGGUUGAAUGCAGCCUCAAAACUGUUUGGAGCCAUCUUAUUUUCAUACCACCAACCCAAACAAAAGUCAAAACACGAGUUUUAGCUACUUAGUAUCAAGAUAUUCAACUUUUCAUUAUCCCAUUCUACCCCAUGUUUCGAAGAUAUGCAAAAAGGGAUUGAUCUGCAUUAUGCACUUCCUUCUGCCUGCUUCCUUGCUUCUUCCCGCAUAACAGCUCUUACAUAUAUCUCAUAACAACAUCCUGCUACUACAACAAUAGUUAGAACAUCUCCCACCCUUUUGAGGGUUCGCACACUUUGUUUAUGUGAUUUGAAGCGUUUCAAGGAGGGAUCUGCUGCCAAGAGAGCCUUUUCACGAGCCCCGGGUUCGAUAUGGAUCCCACGUCGUGACAGCAUCAAUGAUUCAUCGGUCUUCUGAGGAUUGAGUCGAAGCUUCGAUAAAGCUGUGUUGUUGAGCAAAAACGCCAUUGAUUUUCACCGAAAUCGAACAGAGUAAUCGUAGAUGAAGAAGAUGAUUCUGAGUCUCCCGAAUACAGCACAAUAAGAGAGAAAUUCG
rnacentral:misc_RNA from 1 species